UUCUGAAUGUGUGUGUUGACGUGUGUAUGUACUACAUACACUCCAUGGUGAAAGACCCCCGGAGCGGGGAGACCCUCACUCAAGUUUUGGGUUGACACGACCCCCCAAGAACUCAUGUGAGACC
rnacentral:pre_miRNA from 14 species